rnacentral:misc_RNA from 1 species
GGAAGGAUCAUUAACACGUUCCUGACCCUUUGUAUAAACCCAAUGUGAACCAAAAGCAGUGGGCACGCAAUUAAGGAUGGAGGAUCCCUUAAUUGCCCUCCUAUGUGACGCAGCAGCAAUCGUGUGUCGAGGGCUGCCGCAUUGAAAGGAAACUGCUUAAAUAUACUUGAGCCUAUUAAAAUUGCUAUUAGCAUUUUAUCAGUAAGUAAAUCUGAAACAUUUUGCGGGUAAUCCGUAGAUGGGGGAUUUACUGAAAAAUAUUAGUGCUUGAAUAGCAUGGGCUAGGUAUAUUUAAGUAACCUCCGCAAUUUUCCCAUUUCACACAUUUACUAGUUGUCUAAUCAAUUUCUGAUCAAUGGUGACGUUGAUCAUGAAACAAACAAAACUUACAACUUUUGGCAACGGAUAUCUUGGUUCUCGCAACGAUGAAGAACGCAGCGAAAUGCGAUACGUAAUGCGAAUUGCAGAAUUCAGUGAAUCAUCAAAUCUUUGAACGCAAAUUGCGCUCCCGGGUAAUCUGGGAGCAUGCCUCUUUGAGUAUCGUCAACAACAAAACUCUCCUUCUUAGGAGGACUUGGGUGUCUCAUACUGCAAAGUAUGUCACCUUAAAUGCUGUCCUAAAGGGAUUCCAGCUUGAGCUGCAACUGCUUGGUUGUGUAUUCCUCUAUUUGUGAUAAAUCUUAACUGAUUUGGAACUUAUGGAGGAAAGCGCGGCUUUGAGCGGAAACAGAUCACUGGCAUUUUCUUGGACCAAUCAAAGGAAUAUAAGAGAAUUGAAUUCUCUUAUUGUCUGAUCUCAAAUGAGGUAGGAGGACCCGCUGAAUUUAAGCAUAUAAAUAAGCGGAGGAAAAGAAACUAACAAGGAUUCCCCUAGUAACGGCGAGUGAAGCGGGAAGAGCUCAACUUGAAAAUCGGAGGCCUUUAUGGUCUUUGAAUUGUAGUCUAAAGAAGCAAUGUCCGCAGUGGCCCAGGUCUAAGUCCUUUGGAACAAGGUGUCAAAGAGGGUGAGAACCCCGUUUUGGGCUUGGAGUCUGCUGCGUUCGACGUGCUUUCAACGAGUCGGGUUGUUUGGGAUUGCAGCCCUAAUUGGGAGGUAAAUUUCUCCUAAAGCUAAAUAUUGGCGAGAGACCGAUAGCGAACAAGUACCGUGAGGGAAAGGUGAAAAGAACUUUGAAAAUAGAGUUAAAAAGUGCUUGAAAUUGCCAAAAGGGAAGCGAUGGAAGCCAACACUGCGUGUAUCCAUACUUUGCCUUUGUGAGCUUCAGGUUGACUGGCGCCGAGUUUAUCCCGGUGCUGGUUAGCUUGCAAGUUCGCAGAGGAGCCCUGUGGAUAUGUGCGAGUCAAAAUCAAUUCGACUGGCAAUAGAUGACUUGGGAGGAGGUACCAGGAAUGCAUGUACUUGUAUUUUUGGGUUAUACCUCUCGAGUAGCAUUGCUGGUUGGAUUGAGGCUUUGCUAAUGUAUGCUGUGUGGCGGUACUUGAGGUUCCCUGUUCUGGCCAAGGGUGAUGGAUAACAAAGUUAUGCUUUGCUUCUUGGCUGGGCACUGGUUCCGUAUAGUAGCCUGUACAUUAGUGAUUUUGACGCAAUGGUCUUUCAUCGACCCGUCUUGAAACACGGACCAAGGAGUCUAACAUAUAUGCGAGUAUUUGGGUGUAAAAACCCUGAUGCGUAAUGAAAGUAAAGGUCCUUCGGGACUGAGGUGGGAUUCCCUUAGUCUUCGGACGGGGAUGCACCAUCGACCGAUCGUCCGCUUGCGGAAGAUUUGAGUAAGAGCAUAUCUGUUGGGACCCGAAAGAUGGUGAACUAUGCCUGGACAGGGCGAAGCCAGGGGAAACCCUGGUGGAGGCUCGUAGCGAUACUGACGUGCAAAUCGUUCGUCUGAUCUGGGUAUAGGGGCGAAAGACUAAUCGAACCAUCUAGUAGCUGGUUCCCUC